UACGGAGGGUGCAAGCGUUAUCCGGAUUCACUGGGUUUAAAGGGUGCGUAGGCGGGUUGGUAAGUCAGUGGUGAAAUCUUCAAGCUUAACUUGGAACUGCCGUUGAUACUAUCAAUCUUGAAUAUUGUGGAGGUAAGCGGAAUAUGUCAUGUAGCGGUGAAAUGCUUAGAUAUGACAUAGAACACCAAUUGCGAAGGCAGCUCACUAAGCAGCGAUUGACGCUGAGGCACGAAAGCGUGGGGAGUCAAACAGGA
rnacentral:rRNA from 1 species